ACACUGCUGAGGAGUCCCACAAUAGGACGAAACGGCCUUCAAGUGC
rfam:Schistosoma haematobium scaffold2921_1, whole genome shotgun sequence.